GACGAACGCUGGCGGCGUGCUUAACACAUGCAAGUCGAGCGAUGAAGUUUCUUCGGAAAUGGAUUAGCGGCGAACGGGUGAGUAACACGUGAGGAAUCUGCCCUUCACUUUGGAAUAACUCCGGGAAACCGGAGCUAAUACCGGAUACGAACUCUGGCGGCAUCGCCGGGGUCGGAAAGUUUUUCGGUGAAGGAUGACCUCGCGGCCUAUCAGCUUGUUGGUGAGGUAAUGGCUCACCAAGGCGACGACGGGUAGCCGGCCUGAGAGGGCGACCGGCCACACUGGGACUGAGACACGGCCCAGACUCCUACGGGAGGCAGCAGUGGGGAAUAUUGGGCAAUGGGCGAAAGCCUGACCCAGCGACGCCGCGUGCGGGAUGAAGGCCUUCGGGUUGUAAACCGCUUCCAGCAGGGAAGAAGCGAAAGUGACGGUACCUGAAGAAGAAGCACCGGCUAACUAUGUGCCAGCCGCCGCAGUAA
rnacentral:rRNA from 1 species